CGGGGCGUAGCGCAGACCGGUAGCGCACUCGCUUGGGGUGCGAGUGGUCGUGGGUUCAAAUCCCGCCGCCCCGACCA
rnacentral:tRNA from 3 species